AUGCCAUGGUGUGGGCAUGCUUGUAUGUACUCCUAGAGACGCUCCCAGACUUCCGGGAUGGUCUCAUCCCGCAAUUGCUGAAUUCCGGUGAUCCUAUUUCGUAGGGCAU